rnacentral:ncRNA from 1 species
CAAAGUUUAAUUCAGAGUUUAAAACAGCUGUAGGCAAUAAAUUAUACUUGAAUGAAUAUUAAAUAAGAGGUAAAAUUCUAAGACUUUAAUUAGCAUUCCAAAUAGUAUAAUGCUGAGAGCUAAAGCCAUUACUUAAGGACUAGGAUUAGAGACCCUACUACUGAUGGUACUAUCUAUGAUAAUUAUAGUAAACGAAAGUCAAGAAUUAUCUACUCGAAGAUUAAGCCUUAACGGGUGAAAAUCAAAGUUGAAGAGCGUUAUAUCAUCAAUUGAGUGGAUCGUGCUGUUUAAUUUGACAACCCCCAAUAAACCUUACCUAAUCUUGUAUAAUACAGGUGUUACAUUAUCGUCUUUAGGCAUUAUUGUGAAAUUAUUGCUGCAGGAGCUAUUACUUAUGGCCCCGUGACUGAUCUACAUGACUCUAACGAUUAGGGCUACAGGCGCGAUAUCAAGAAUUGAAUUAUGAAACUCUAAUUCAUGAAUAAAUAAUCAGAAGUAAUAUGGUGUUAGAAUUACCAUAUGAAUAUCAAAGAUAUAAGCUACUAAUUGCCCAUCAAUCUCCUAGUGAGAUAAGUUGACACAAAGUUACGCUAGAUGAAUUUGGCGUGGGAAAUUAA